UACGUAGGUGGCAAGCGUUGUCCGGAUUUACUGGGCGUAAAGGGUGCGUAGGUGGAUACGUAAGUCAGAUGUGAAAUACCCGGGCUUAACUCGGGUGCUGCAUUUGAAACUGCGUGUCUAGAGUGCAGGAGAGGAAAGCAGAAUUCCUAGUGUAGCGGUGAAAUGCGUAGAGAUUAGGAAGAAUCCCAGUGGCGAAGGCGGCUUUCUGGACUGUAACUGACACUGAGGCACGAAAGCGUGGGGAGCAAACAGG
rnacentral:rRNA from 1 species